GACGAACGCUGGCGGCGUGCUUAACACAUGCAAGUCGAACGGAAAGGCCCUGCUUUUGUGGGGUGCUCGAGUGGCGAACGGGUGAGUAACACGUGAGUAACCUGCCCUUUACUGUGGGAUAACUUCAGGAAACUGGGGCUAAUACCGGAUAUGAGCUCCUGCUGCAUGGUGGGUGUGGGAAAGUUUCGGCGUUUGGGGAUGGACUCGCGGUUUAUCAGCUUGUUGGUGGGGUAGUGGCUUACCAAGGCUUUGACGGGUAGCCGGACUGAGAGGGUGACCGGCCACAUUGGGACUGAGAUGCGGCCCAGACUCCUACGGGAGGCAGCAGUGAGAAAUAUUGCACAAUGGGCGGAAGCCUGAAGCAGCAACGCCGCGUGCGGGAUGACGGCCUUCGGGUUGUAAAGCGCUUUCGACUGUGACGAAGAGUGAGUGACGGUAAUGGGUAAAGAAGCAACGGCUAACUACGUG
rnacentral:rRNA from 1 species